GGCUCUGACGUGAGGCGUGCAGUGCUGACGUGACGGGAACCAUUUUGGACGUUGGUUUUAUUUUGUAAGGGGCUUCGGAAGGCUUCCUUUAAUCUUUACUUUUGGUCCCAUUGCCAAGAAGAGUUGUUCAAAAGGUCGUAAUACCUGAGUUCGGAAGAAACAGCUUACCAUAGAGAAAAUGCCGCCUCUUGAAACGGAUAUAGCAGUGGAAACAGAAGAGAGAGUAAGGUUUGAGCAUCGUGUAACACAGGAGCUUAAAGAUCUAUGCUCAUUGAUAAAGAGGCUAGUGUCAGAGUGCUUGGAAAGGAGAGAGAGAGAGAUAACAGAAAUGUGCAAGCCUGAUCGGUCACAAAAUCGAAUUACCGAAGUAAAUGCAAAACAAGAGAAACAUGCAGAAAAAAAGGAAAAAUAAAAGAGAAGAGAAAUCUACAGGAUCGAUCCAGGAGAUACAAUCUACACGUAAUAGGAAUACCUGAAACGGGAAAGCAAAUGAAGCUGAAACAGUAAGGACCUAAUUGAAGAAAAUGCUCCAGAUUCGAAAAACGAACUAAAUCUGCAAAUAGAAAAAGUUCAUAGAGUAUCAGUAAAACAACGAAAAGAAAGCAACACCUAGAUCUAGCCCAGUGACGUUUUUAAACUGGAAGGAUAAAGAAAAAAUUCUACAAGUAUUCAGAGAAAGCAGGUUACCUGUAAAGGGGUAAAAGUCAGACUGACGCGAUUUUUCUCUUGCAACUCUAAAUGCCGAGAGUAUCUACAGCUUUAAGGGAAAAUGAUUUUGAACUUAGAGUUAUAUAUCCUGUCAAGUUAUCGUUUCUAAAUGAAAGCAACUGGAAGACAUUACUAGAUAUGCAGGGGUUAAGAAAGUUUAUCAGCCAGAUACCAUUCUUGAAAAAUUUGCUAAAUGAUGUUACUGCAGAGCACAAAAACAACUCGAGUAGUGAGGCAAUUGUAUGGAAAAAAAAAUGGGUAAGCCUUAAAGCUAGUUAAAUAUCAUUAAAGAUUAAAUUGUUAUAUGUAGGGUUAUAAAACUAAAUGCAAAGAUAAAUUCUUGAGUUGGGUCUAAAAUUUCAGUUUGUCUUGUUUUAAACCGAAAAGGUGUGCUAAAUGUUCAAUGCAGACAGCAAGUAAGUACUGUUUUUAGUAUGUAAUGUAGAUAAAGAUAUGCAUGCUCUUCAGCUAAAUAAAUAAAAAGGGCUUUGUUACUGUGGUGGGCAGGACACCUAGAGUAAAGGCAUUCCAAGUGUUAAUCUGAUAAAAUGGGACAAUUGGUACAGUUUUGUGUCCUUUAUUUUUAAUUAUAGAGGGGGGAAAAGUAACAAGUUUGUUUAUAAUGUUAAUGCUGACAAUGUAAAGAAAAUUUCCAAAUCCCUGACUGGGGAGGUGGUAGAUGAAAACCUUGUUUUAUGUACAUCUUGCCUAGGGAAAAUCAGUAGUAACCACUUGAUGUAGUAGUUCAUUCUAAGUAAAUUUGACGUUGAGAUAAGUGUUACAGAUAAAAGAGGAGAGGAAAUGGUGAAAAAACAAAAACACUAAGAAAACAUUAAAAUUAGCACAAGAUAGACUAACAGAGAUAACAGGUGAAUUAUCACGCUUAUAAACAGGCUAAAUAUCCCUGUUAAAAAGAUUCAAAUUGGGUCAAAAAUCAGUCUCUGAACCUGGAGGUUUACAUUUGUGUAAAACAAAGGAUAAAGGAAUUUAAAGAUAAUGGAAACUGUUAAAGCAUAGAAAAUGAAAUAGGGAGCAACAUUUUUAUCAGAAUUUAAGCUAUAACAAAGUAUAAAACUGUAGGAUGUAGCAUUUAAGAAGCUUUAUGUGGUAAAUAACCUGGCAUUCAUCUGUAAAAUGUUCAGUAUCUUGAUGUGAGUGGUAGUUUUACUGCUGUAUAUAUAGUUAAGUGCAUUCUAAGUACUUAAUAAAGUAAUUCUUAA